UACAGAGGGUGCGAGCGUUAAUCGGAAUUACUGGGCGUAAAGCGUGCGUAGGCGGUUUGCCGUGUCCUGUGUGAAAGCCCCGGGCUCAACCUGGGAAUUGCAUGGGAAACUGGCAGGCUUGAGUGUGGCAGAGGAGGGUGGAAUUCCGCGUGUAGCAGUGAAAUGCGUAGAGAUGCGGAGGAACACCGAUGGCGAAGGCAGCCCUCUGGGCCAACACUGACGCUCAUGCACGAAAGCGUGGGGAGCAAACAGG
rnacentral:rRNA from 1 species